CGUGUCAUCACUUUGAUUAACUUGAAGAUUUUACUCGGAGGUAAACGUUUCUUCGUUAAAAAACGAUUAACGGAAGCUUUAAUUUAGAUAGAUUUAUCAGAUUAAGAAAAGAGAAACGAUAAAUUGGCCGGGCGAUUUAAGCGAAUUUUCAUUUAAUUUUAAUCGAAAAGGUGAAUAAUCGGAUUAAUAAUUUUUUAACAUCGAUGAAACUUUGAUAACACAUCUUGAAAUAUUAUUGGAAGGAUGAUAUAUUUUCGAUAAUUUCACGAAACUUUUUUUUUCCCUAUCCAAUCCGAAUUAAAAUAUUCGAAAAUAGAUGAACAAUAAUUUACAUCGUAUAACGAGCUAUUGCACGAGCUAUUCGCUUCAAUGUAACGAAGAGAGUUAAAUAAUAAUCGUAAUAAAAAUUUCUCUCGAAUAAAAAUUCACUUUUAAUCUACGCUCUCAAUUGCACGAAAAAAUUCAAAAUUCAAAAUUCAAAAUUCUUUUAUUCCCCCCCUCCUCUUCCCUCGAAUCGAAAAAUAUCAACGAACAUACCUUUCACGGCCACCGAUUUUUCGCGCUGUCUCCGCGCGAAAAUUUCAAAAGGCAAAAAAAGGAAGCUCCGCUUUGAACUCAGGCUCAAAGCAUAACGAGCCGUUGCUCUGCAAGAAUAAUAUUCGCCGCGCGGCACAAAUAUCAAAAACGAUACGUCGGAAAAACAGAGGGAGAGGGGAGAGUGGGAGGGAGAGGGGAGGGGAGAGCGAAAAUCGCGAGAGACGAGAGGAAAUUUUCGAGGAAAAAUGAAAAUCCAGUUGACGAGUGAAACGUCGAGUAUAAACGUCGUUAUUACUUUUAUUUAAAAAAUAUAAACCCGAAUUUGCGAAAAAAAUAAUUAAUCCUACCUCCCUUUUCUCUCCAACGAGUUUUCGCGACGAGAGAAAAAUCAGAGUUUGCUAAAUUCGAACUUUUUUUUCCUACGCGAAUCCUACGCGUGGAAGUAAGAAAGAUCGUUCUCGUUUAAAUCACUUAAUUUACUUCGUCUUCGUUUAUUGAAAAAUUUCCUUUUCUAAAGUCGUCCAAAACUUCUUCCACCAGUUCGAAAGAUCGAACUACGACAAAUUGGAUUGUCAAAAAACGAACGAGCAACAAGAUAUGAAAAAAAGAAGAAGAGAAAAAAAGAGCAGAAAGAAGCGAGCGACGCAGCAAUGUCGGAAACGUAACGCGGAAUACGAAAGUUUGGAUGAGCGGGAUCGACGAUGUGUAUCGAAAAAUCGUAGAGGUGGAAGUGCGAGUGAAAUCCUGCGGAAAUAGAAGCUUCUGCCACGAGAGAUGGCGCUCGUGUGGCGACUGACGUUGACGGUUCAAAGUCGACACGUGUCGCAACGUUCUCGUUUCGUGUUAUCCUCCCAUCGAUCGAUUCGCGAAAAAAGUGCAUCGAAAAUGCCACUUACCAAGCUUUCACGAUAUUCGCGUUUAUUUCGUUUCCCGGUUCGCAAGGAUUUUUUAUGGAAACGAUGUUUCCAGAAGCCAGUUCCUUUUCUUUACUCAACUCGAUAUAUAUAUAUAUUAUUCGCGGGCGAGAUUACGUGGAGAAGGUUCUCGAAGCUUCGAACGUUUUCACUCCUAGAAAGCGAAAAUCAGUGUUUGAAAAAAUGUUCAAUAAUCGGAAUGUUAUCGAGCCGAACCCCGAUUUCGACAACACAUCUCUCAUCGUGAAAUGAAUGUAAAAAAGACGAGCUACGAGUUUUUUUAACGAAUGUGUAUAUUCAGAUAUUGGACGCGUGCCGUUCAGUGGAAAGAAGUAUCGCGAGAGACAUCUUGUUGACAACGAGAAAAGGAAAGUUGUGAAUUGGAUAUUCAAAAUGGUAAAAAUUAUUUUCGAAACUAUUAAUUAUUUCGAUAUUAAUACAUUAAUAUAUCUAUUCGUAUACGUUUAUACAAUUAUUAGUAAUAGUAAUUCUCUGAACUUUAUGUCUAUGUUAAUGCUUUGAAUUGGAUUAGGUUAGGUUAACCGUUCGAGUACAAAAUUUGUAAAUUGAAACUAUCGUUACAAAUCGUAAUUUCUUCUCUGUAUUUCACGCUUAUGCAUCGAGGUUUAGAUGUAGAAUAUCUAUAUAGAAUGAUCGUUUUGAAUCGGUAUACGUGAUCAAAUUAACCAAUCAGACUCGCUUUCCAUCUUUCCACCGGUGAACAGUGCAAGUGAUAUAGCAAUAAGAAAUAAGUGAUACGUUAAAUGGAGAUCUCGAAGACAUGUUCCUUUUUGAAACAUCUUUGAGUAAUCGAUAUUCGAGUAAUAAUUGUAAAAAAAAAAAAUUUUGAUUAUUUAUUUAUACAACAGAUUAUCGAGCGAUAUAUAUAUCAUUCAAAAUUUUGCCAUCACGAAAUUUUACCAAAGUUUGACACUCCUCGAUUAAUGCACGAUUCGUUUCGCAAACGUCAUUAUUCAUGUCGCGACUAGUUGGUCACCUGCUCUUCGACAUAACUCUCGAGAUUUAUUAUCAUGGAACUGGUGAAUGCGGUUCGAUAUCGAAUCGUUUAUUCCUCUUUAUUCGGAUUUAAAUUUUAUAUCGCGAAUAUCCGAGUUUUGAAAAAUUCCAAAAGCCAGGAGGAGAGGUUUCGUACUCGAGCUUAUUUCGACACACCUGUUGUAUUGAAAUUGUACUGAGCUAUAUAAGUUUAUUAUACGAGGAAAUAUUUAUCUUGCGAGUAUAUCUAGAGUGAGCAUAUCGACCGAGCAUUGUAAAUAUUUAUUAAGGAAACGAAUUUUAUUUUACUUAAAUAUAUCCAAAUUUCUGAUUUAACCGAAUUAACGAAUUAGUGAAUUAUUAUGAUUAAACAUAAUCAAUUUUUAAUCCAAACUCAAACUUAUCAAAAUAUUAUCCCUAGGAUUCGAUUCGAGGAAAAAAGUUUCAACAUCCACGGGGGGAACGGGAAGAGGAGAAACGAAGUGAAAUUAUCGCAAAUAUGCAGUCUAUAACCGAGCUUACCCGGUGAAAGAGGACGAUUUAUAUAUUCGAGCAUCGGCUCUCGUCGAGUAUCGAGGAACCCGUGGAAUCGGAUAGCGAAGUAUCAACAAGAAACUUUCAAUUCAGCCGAUAGACAAAAUUCAAAAUCCUUUCUGGAAAAUAAAUAAUGAAACGUCGGCCCCGUCGGAAAUGGAACGGUGGAAAGAGGUCGCAACAAAUUGCGGAUCAAAUAUUCCCAGGCGGGGAACGGCGGGGGUUUUCGGUCUCGACUCUCGAAAUGGAUUUCGAGAGCGAGAAUUUCUCGUUGUUUAGUUUUAUCUUUGAAUUACGGCAGGAGUGGGGGAAGGAGCGAAGAGGUGGGGAGCAACCGUUAUGAAAGCAAGUGGCCGCGCAUUGGUUCGAUGAAUUCGCUUAAUGGAAGCAUUAGAGCAUUGCCUUUCGCCCACCGUUUUCCAAGGGAACCCGGUUUUAUGCUCGCCGCAACAAUGACCCAUCCACGCAUGCGUCCGGAUCUCAUCAACUGCGAACGCUCUUCAUAAACGUACAAUUACGAAGCUGCGUUAUAUAAUCUUCGGAAGAUUAAGAUCUGUUCAUCUAUUGGAAGAAUAUAUUUUUUUCUCGAGUUUUCUUGGUUAUUUAAAGUGACGUAAAAUAUUUAUUCAAUAAGCGCGGUCAAGCACCAGAAUACAGAAUUGUGAUGGAAAAAGCAAGAGGGGAAGAUUUCUAGGGAAGAUAUUUGGAAACGGAGGAACGUUUUCUUGUCGGCGAAGACAACAUCAGCUCGUUGAACGUUUCAUACACAUAGAGUUACAUGUACACGAUAUAAACACAAAGGAGGAGACGUUUUUGCUCCCUUCCUUCACAGAAGAAUUCCAGCGUAGGAAUCUGCAUCUGUUUCCCUAAUGUCAAUCAUAUUUCGUUUUUAUCCCCUUCCCUAUGUCGCCAAAGCGUGCAUUUAACCAACAAAGCAACCAACCGGGGAGGAAAGGAAUUGUUAACUGUCGUCGAAUAUUGGAAUAAAGAAUUCCAGAAGAAGGAAGCGGGAGAACAGAGAGCACAUCCAGCAGCGAUAUUUCCAUGUCGUUUUAUCAACAAGAGGAGGGGGAAGAAGAUUCAAAAGGGUCUUUCCGCUUUAAUCCAAGAUUCGCAGAAGAUAAGUCUAGGAUUCUUCUUGUAUCAGAAAUAAAAAACGGAAAACAGAGGAUUAUCCCGCCAAGGUUAUUUCCAUAUCGUUCCAUCAAUCGAAGAAAGAACUCCAGAGGAGAGGAUCCACCAACAGUUUCCGCAUUGGACUCUUUCAGAGAUUCAAGAUAAUUUCCAAAUUCCUAUAAUUCCAAAAGGUAAUUUCGAAAAGAAAUUAGGAGGACAGAAGAGGAUCCGAAAAAGUACCCUCCUUUAACUCCAGAUUCAAAAGAUAAUUU
rnacentral:lncRNA from 11 species